UGCUUACUUCAAAAUUGUAUUAAUGAGUUGUGGCCAGGUUCUGAAAAACAUUUGUACAGAUCCUCUUAAAGAGACUUUGAUUUUUCCAAUUUGAGAUCAUAUAUUGAACAUCACUUUCCUAAUGAAUGGAUUUGGAUUCUUCAGGUUGAGCUAAAUAAAACUUACAAGUAGUGUGGUAUGUUACAACCAAUUCCUCAUAGCACAUUUUACUCCCAUCUGGUAUUACUCCAGAUAGUGUUAUUAAGAAAAUACUCCACCAAAAAUAUUUUUGUAUGUUACUUACCCAAUAUGGUUUGUAGUGAUGACUAAAGAAAAAUUGAUUUUCAUGGAGAAUGAAAAUAAAAAAACUUCUAACGUAACACAAACCACUGGUGACCAAAGUUGUACACUGGUAAAUUACAUAAAAAAUGUCCAAAAAAAUGUUUCAUGUCACUUGUGUCACAAAAUCAACAUUUCAGUUGUUUGCUCACAGCAUGUAAAACACAUGCAUUUUUGCUAAAAUAUUGUUAAACAGAUAAUGUACCUCUGGAAAAAUCUGCACAAGGUAAAUGCAUUCACAUCAUACUGCUCUUUUGAAUUGAAGAUCUGCCUCUCCCUAUCAUUCACAGGUUAAUAAUCUUGUUUUCAGUUCAAAAGCACAGUAAGUACAUUUUCUGUUUGUGUUUUUUUUUCUGGAAGGAUAUAUUUUAACAUUAUUUUAGCAACUUCUUUUAUCUUCAUUCUCCACAAAAACAUAAUUUUUUUUUUUUUUCUCAGUCAUUACUACAAAACAUAUGGUAUAAAUAGCAUGUAAAUUAUAUAUAAUAUAUACUGUAUAUGUGUCAUUUUUGGGGUUGUGUUCCUUUAAGGUGCUACAAGUGAUAUUGAGUUGAUUUAUAUGGGUUGGAGACGGUGCCACUGACUAAAAGACAGGAGACAGAGCUGAAGGUGGCAGAGUUAAAGAUGUUUAGAUUUGCAUUUGGUGUGAUGAGGAUGGACAGGAUUAGGAAAGAGUACAUUAGCUGGUCAGCUCAUUUUCUAUUUUUUUUUUUUAUUUUGUAUGCAAGCAACACACCGUAGACACUGUGUAAUGGUGACUGUUGACUGGAACAGUGAACUUAAUAGUGAUAUGCAAGUGCCUGAACUCCUUCAAAAAUCUAAAGCUUUUAUAAAAUAAUGAAAUUCAGUGUAAUUAGUUCAGCUCAGAUUUAGUGUUAUGUAUACAAAGUACAAUGAAACUCUUAUAUGCACACAUCACUAACACACACCAUGCUGCCACUUGGCAUGAAUCUCACACCGUAAGCUAUGUAAAAUGCAGGCAGUCUGGCAUAGUGGUUAAGGAUUUGGACCUCAAACCCUGAAGUCAUGGGUUCAAGUCCCACUUCUGAGACUGUGACCCUGAACAAGUCACUUGACCAAAAGAAAUGUAACCAAUUGCAUCUUAAGUGAUGUAAGUCACCUUGGGUAAAGAAGUCAGCCAAAUAAGUAAAUGUAAAAUAACACAGAAUGUAAUAGGCAUUUACCAAAAAGUAGUGUGCAUUUGUUGUUAAACUGCUGUACCUCUAUAGUAAUUCAGUAUGUGUGCCAGCAUAUAAAAAUAUAUAUACGACUUGGGCUGUCGCAUCCACCUGAUCCCGUUCCCCAAUAGGUUCAAUACUUUACUAUCUGCUGAGGUUUUCAGCAAUGUAAUACCUAUAGAUAAUGUAAAUUGGCUGUAUAUACUAUUAUAAUAAUAAAGGGGGCAAGUGCAAUUAAUUUUUGAGAUGUGCAACUGAUUCUGUUUAAUAUAUGUUUCUCUAUAUUAUUAUACAAUAUUAUACCUUUAUACUAUAAAACUCAAGAAUGUCUUAAAACCUGUAUCAACUGAUUUCAUAUUCCUCUGUAAUACAAUAAAUUAAUAGGGAGGGCAAACUUGAUGGCCUACCUUUUUUAAAGUUCAAACAAAUAA